GAAACCCGGUGAUCUAGCCAUGGGCAGGUUGAAGGUUGGGUAACACUAACUGGAGGACCGAACCGACUAAUGUUGAAAAAUUAGCGGAUGACUUGUGGCUGGGGGUGAAAGGCCAAUCAAACCGGGAGAUAGCUGGUUCUCCCCGAAAGCUAUUUAGGUAGCGCCUCGUGAAUUCAUCUCCGGGGGUAGAGCACUGUUUCGGCAAGGGGGUCAUCCCGACUUACCAACCCGAUGCAAACUGCGAAUACCGGAGAAUGUUAUCACGGGAGACACACGGCGGGUGCUAACGUCCGUCGUGAAGAGGGAAACAACCCAGACCGCCAGCUAAGGUCCCAAAGUCAUGGUUAAGUGGGAAACGAUGUGGGAAGGCCCAGACAGCCAGGAUGUUGGCUUAGAAGCAGCCAUCAUUUAAAGAAAGCGUAAUAGCUCACUGGUCGAGUCGGCCUGCGCGGAAGAUGUAACGGGGCUAAACCAUGCACCGAAGCUGCGGCAGCGACACUAUGUGUUGUUGGGUAGGGGAGCGUUCUGUAAGCCUGUGAAGGUGGCCUGUGAGGGUUGCUGGAGGUAUCAGAAGUGCGAAUGCUGACAUAAGUAACGAUAAAGCGGGUGAAAAGCCCGCUCGCCGGAAGACCAAGGGUUCCUGUCCAACGUUAAUCGGGGCAGGGUGAGUCGACCCCUAAGGCGAGGCCGAAAGGCGUAGUCGAUGGGAAACAGGUUAAUAUUCCUGUACUUGGUGUUACUGCGAAGGGGGGACGGAGAAGGCUAUGUUGGCCGGGCGACGGUUGUCCCGGUUUAAGCGUGUAGGCUGGUUUUCCAGGCAAAUCCGGAAAACCAAGGCUGAGGCGUGAUGACGAGGCACUACGGUGCUGAAGCGACAAAUGCCCUGCUUCCAGGAAAAGCCUCUAAGCAUCAGGUAACAUCAAAUCGUACCCCAAACCGACACAGGUGGUCAGGUAGAGAAUACCAAGGCGCUUGAGAGAACUCGGGUGAAGGAACUAGGCAAAAUGGUGCCGUAACUUCGGGAGAAGGCAC
rnacentral:rRNA from 1 species